CACGUAGGCACCAAGCGUUGUCCGGAUUUAUUGGGCGUAAAGAGCUCGUAGGCGGUUCAGUAAGUCGGGUGUGAAAACUCUGGGCUCAACCCAGAGACGCCACCCGAUACUGCUGUGACUUGAGUACGGUAGGGGAGUGGGGAAUUCCUGGUGUAGCGGUGAAAUGCGCAGAUAUCAGGAGGAACACCGAUGGCGAAGGCAGGUCUCUGGGCCACUACUGACGCUGAGAAGCGAAAGCAUGGGGAGCGAACAGG
rnacentral:rRNA from 1 species